rnacentral:rRNA from 1 species
GAUGAACGCUAGCGGCAGGCCUAAUACAUGCAAGUCGAACGGUGUAGCAAUACACAGUGGCGCACGGGUGCGUAACACGUAUGCAACCUACCUUACAUUGGGGGAUAGCCUUUCGAAAGGGAGAUUAAUACCGCAUAAGACAGUAACUAGGCAUCUAGUAGCUGUUAAAGAUUUAUCGAUGUAAGCUGGGCAUGCGUCCAAUUAGUUAGUUGGCGAGGUAAUGGCUCACCAAGACGAUGAUUGGUAGGGGAACUGAGAGGUCAAUCCCCCACACUGGCACUGAGAUACGGGCCAGACUCCUACGGGAGGCAGCAGUAGGGAAUAUUGGGCAAUGGGCGCAAGCCUGACCCAGCCAUACCGCGUGCAGGAAGAAGGCGUUAUGCGUUGUAAACUGCUUUUAUACAGGAAGAAACGACCCUUGCGAGGGGCAUUGACGGUACUGUAUGGAUAAGCACCGGCUAACUCCGUGCCAGCAGCCGCAGUAAAAC